UAACGAGCAAAACAUCCAAGAUGGCGGCGAAACGUCGAAUUUCUCGAAAACGAAUUAUAACCGCGCGAAAACACCUACAGGAGAGUCCCCUCCCCCCACCCCCCGGGAUGUGUGGACUAGUGUAAAAAUGGCAAGUAAAAGAUCCAAGUCAGAACGUAUUUGAUCAAUUGUCACUAUCACCAACUCCUGGCGGAAAACAACCAAGAAUGUCUGGAUUACCAGAUCGAUGGCAAAGUCGUCCCUCAGCUUCUUUAUGGCCUCUCUCCAACUCCCAGGCAUUAUGGUAUCCGCAAAGUUCUCUUUGGACAUGAAUUGGAAUCUGUCACCUCCAUCAUGCUGCCGUUUGAGAUGAAAUCAAUAAAUCGCGAUCGCUGUGUGCUUU